GAAAUACUGGCCCCAGCGAAGUCAGUGGCACCCUAAAUUCAAGCCCCUUGUGCAUGUACACAUUAUGAUAGUCUUUUACUGUGUGAUCACACUUUUUUCCACAGAACACAGCACAAGCGGGUGAAAUAAGGUAACACAGGCAGCCUUAGUUCUGGCAUUUCCUAAUUUCCAGUACUUGACUUUGUACCCAUAAUAAUCUUUUAACACGUUUUUUUAAAUGUCAGAGAGAAAGGGUUUGAGAGAGAGAGAGUGUGACACACACAAAAAAUACGCUUCAUUUUCCUGACUGCUUGGCUAUAAUAUCCCCAGCACAGAAUCCAUGAAAGAGCAUUUGAGAAGUGCUUAGCUAAAGAAUUAUUCACCCUUGAUCCUGCAUUU